rnacentral:rRNA from 1 species
UACGUAGGGGGCAAGCGUUGUCCGGAAUUAUUGGGCGUAAAGCGCGUGUAGGCGGUCCGGUAAGUCCGCUGUGAAAGUCGGGGGCUCAACCCUCGAAUGCCGGUGGAUACUGUCGGGCUAGAGUACGGAAGAGGCGAGUGGAAUUCCUGGUGUAGCGGUGAAAUGCGCAGAUAUCAGGAGGAACACCAAUUGCGAAGGCAGCUCGCUGGGACGUUACUGACGCUGAGACGCGAAAGCGUGGGGAGCAAACAGG